rnacentral:lncRNA from 1 species
GUGGAGUCGGAUGCUUGUACUCGUUGUACUCCACGUAAAGCGUCUGCCAUUCCCCAGAGGGCCGGAAACACGAAGAAGAUGGCCAGCUGGUCUGGAUGAGGCUUCCAGUACAAAAGACCCAGAAAAGAGCCCAGGAAAGUGAGUGAUGUGUUUACCGAGUGACAGUGUCUCCCCACAUACAUCUCCUGUCAGCUCUGAGAAUUGAAUCUGCAACCUUUGAGUUACAGACUUGAAUCCCAUUUUUGCAGUCAACUCCUCUCUGCAUCUCAAAUCUUCCGACAUACUCGACCAGCCACUGGACAAACUGGUAAAAGCAGGAAAGCCAUUCAUACAGAGAUCAUGAACAGUGGACCUGAAUGGUAUGAAUCAAAGGCCGAUGGAUGACAGAUGAAAACGGGACACGUACACACAACCAGGAGGGAACCAACACUAGGAGAGAGACGAAGACACUGUGGGUAUACUUGGAACAGACAAGGUGAUCGGAUAAGAAACCCGUUUGAGUGGAUA